UACGUAGGGAGCAAGCGUUGUCCGGAAUCAUUGGGCGUAAAGCGCGUGUAGGCGGUCACAUAAGUCUGUUGUGAAAGUCGGAGGCUCAACCUUCGAAAGCCGAUGGAUACUGUGUGACUUGAGUACGGAAGAGGAGAGUGGAAUUCCUGGUGUAGCGGUGAAAUGCGCAGAUAUCAGGAGGAACACCAAUGGCGAAGGCAGCUCGCUGGGACGUAACUGACGCUGAGACGCGAAAGCGUGGGGAGCAAACAGG
rnacentral:rRNA from 1 species